CAAAAACAUAGCUAGAUGUAAUUAUAUUUAGUGCUUCCUGCUCAAUGAUAUAUUUAAUAGCCGCAGUACCUUGACUGUGCAAAGGUAGCAUAAUCAAUUGGCUUAUAAUUGAAGUCUAGAAUGAAAGGAUAUACGGGUAAUUACUGUAUCUGAUAUUUAUUGUAAAAUUAGUUUUCAAGUGCAAAUACUUGUAAAUAACUGUUAGACGAGAAGACCCUAGAAAUUUGUAUUAAUGUUUCGUUGGGGCAACGUAGUAGGAAAACCUACAGUAAAAGACAGGAAAAAAAUUUGAGAGAAAAAAUUACUCUAGGGAUAACAGCAUAAUUUAUAAAAGUUUGUGACCUCGAUGUUGGAUUUGGGAAUUAUAGUUCARAARACUUUUAAUACCGCUCUGUUCGAGCAUAACAC
rnacentral:rRNA from 1 species